AUUCAUCAUUAUAACAGUUUAAUGAGACUCUUCUUGAUAGUCGUUUUCAUUUUUACUUCAUCCUGUAGAGCUACCUAUGGACAUGAAGCUACUUAUAGAGAACAAACAGUUCGUUUGAUUGGAGAACUGGGACAGGCAGGUGGUCGUUUGGAAGUUCGUCAUGAUGGUAUCUGGAAGAAUGUAUGUGAUGAUAACUUUGACAAAAAUGCUGCACAGGUUGUUUGUCGACAAUUAGGAUUGCUAAAUACUUCUAGACUUCAGGAGGUUGAUAUAUAUUCGAAUGGCAAUAAUACAUGGUUUGUAAAUGCAACUGAUGGGUCCUAUUGGUUGGAUGAAGUCAGUUGUCGAGGAAAUGAAAGCAGACUAGAAGAUUGUGGACAUGAAGGUUGGGGUGAGACUGAUUGUUAUGUAACUGAAGAAGUUGG